UACAGAGGGUGCAAGCGUUAAUCGGAAUUACUGGGCGUAAAGCGUGCGUAGACGGUUACAUAAGUCGGGUGUGAAAGCCCCGGGCUCAACCUGGGAAUUGCAUUCGAGACUGCGUAGCUAGGGUGCGGAAGAGGGAAGCGGAAUUUCCGGUGUAGCGGUGAAAUGCGUAGAUAUCAGGAGGAACACCGGUGGCGAAGGCGGGUCUCUGGGCCGUAACUGACGCUGAGGAGCGAAAGCAUGGGGAGCGAACAGG
rnacentral:rRNA from 1 species